GUGCUUGCUUUGGUGGCACAUACACUAAAAUUGGAAAGAUACAGAGAAGAUUAGCAUGGCUGCUGCACAAGGAUGAUAGAAAAAUCUGUGAAGCAUUCCAUACUGUA